GAAAUAGAUAAAAGUUUAUUGAAAUCACUUUUGCAGGAAAAAUUUAAAUAUAACCAAAAACAAAUCGAAUAUUUGAAUGUUGGUGAAAAUAUUUUGACAAAUUUUCGAAAAUUGAUUACUGAUCAAAUAAAUUGUAUUGAAACUAAUCAACGGUUUAUUAUUCCACAACUGAUGGAAUGCAUUAGAAAAGAAGAAAAUUCCAAAAACAAAUUACUUAUUGAGUCUUCAUCAACUGAUAAACCUCAUGAAGAAAUUAUCAUUCCAUCUUCCAUUAAUUCAAAUAAUAUAUUAGAUAAAACUAUGAACAUUAAAGAGUUUUUUUGAUUUCA